rnacentral:snRNA from 1 species
GGAUGUGAGGGCGAUCUGGCUGCAACAUUUGUCACACCACUGAUCGCCAGGGUUGAGUCAGCUGAUCUGGCUGGCUAGGUGGGUGCCCCCUUCCUCCUUCAUCACUCCCUGUGUGUCCCGCUCGAAGCUGUGUGCUCAGUCAAAGAGGACAACCACAUCCAGUAGAGGAGGACCAUUUCCUCAGUCAAGGCUAUACGAGUAGAUGUGUUCCCCUGCUAGAACCUCCAAAAAAGCUUUCAAGAUGUCACCUAUCCCUGGAUUGACCUAUAGGUUUAAUACAAUCACAAUCAAAACCCCAGCAAGCAUUGCUGGUAAAACUU